rnacentral:piRNA from 1 species
UGCUGGCACAACUGGUUGUU